rnacentral:lncRNA from 1 species
CUACUUCUAGUUUUAGUUUGGAAGCUGCUUCACUGAUCUUUGCUUCUUUCUGCUCGUAGAUCUUCUUCCUGCUUGAGAUGGCUGCAUUCGUCGAGGGUUGUUACAGGCCGUACCUGCUGUGUCCCGUCUGUAAGAAGACCCGCUGGAACCUGGGGGCUCACCUGAGGAGGCGGUGCAUGAGGGGCAGGUCUGCAUCUGAGGUGGAGAGGGAGGUGGAAAUGGAGAAGAUGACGGCGCAGGAUUUGCUGAGGGACGGUCGGGUGUGGGACUACAGUCUGAUCAGGAGGAUCAUGGAUCAGCCGGAUCCUAUCCGCUGUUUUAUGGCGCAGCUGAAGGACAGGGGGAACGUUGUGGUCAACAUCCCUCCUGAAGCCAUUCCUCCUCUUAUUCCAUAUCUGCCUGAAGCCCCUCCCCCUGCAGUGGGCGUGGCUGAGAGUGAAUCAGAUUCAGAUUCUGAGAGCUCUGGUCCUGAUGUGAGGAAACGAGAGAGCGUGAAUCAGCAGCAGGAGACGGCGUCUGGUUCGGACAGCGAAGAGCCGAGCUCAGUUCAGUCGAGGAAGAAGAGGAAGCGCCAGGAGGAAGAGGAAGAGGAGGAGGAAGAGACCACGACGGACGAUGAGGAAGAGGAAGAUGAGGAUGAACAUACCACCUGGACGUUCUCCAGCAGGAUGAUGGAUGAUGAAGAAGAGGAUGAGGAAGAUGAUGAGGAGGAUGAUGAAGAGAGCAGCUGGAUGCCCAGGACGUCCUCCAGCAGGACGCCGGGUGAUGAAGAGGAGGAUGAUAAAAAGUCCCGCAACACUUCCAGGACGUUCACCAGCAGGAUGACGGAUGACGAGAAGCACCUGACGGAGGGACGUCUCACUUCCUGUUCAGAAAAUGCAGAGAUGCACUACUGCAUGCAGGAAUUUGGCAACGUGGUGGCGGCGAGUGUCCUGCUCAAGAGACUCACCACUCACUCAUAUGAGCAGGAGGAUAACACCACUGAUUCUGCCCCCGAAAACAGGGAACAACAAGCGGCCUAUGAGAAGCUGUUGGAGGCGUGUCCUAUAACGGUGGGCGGGGCUCUGCCGAAGGGGCGGAUGCUAACAGAGCUAACCGGAGCUCACGAGCGCUACUGCAGCGAGCGCUGGCUUAUUGAUCAGCGGCAGCUUCAAUCGAAGAAGAUCCUCCUCGAGUAUUUAAAAUAAAUUACUGUUACUAUCUUAUACAAACAAAAUACUGCUAGUCCUGUUAUUAGCGGAUUAUAAGCAGCACCAUCAGUAAACAUCUAUUUUCUGGUCUAUUUAUAAUACUGAAAAAUAAGACAAGAGUUUGGAGUCCUAUAAAACAGGAAA